rnacentral:rRNA from 1 species
UAAUACGUAGGUGGCAAGCGUUGUCCGGAUUUAUUGGGUUUAAAGGGUGCGUAGGCGGCCUAUUAAGUCAGUGCUGAAAUAUCCCGGCUUAACCGGGAGGGUGGCAUUGAUACUGAUGGGCUUGAGUAGAGUCGAGGUGGGCGGAAUUGACGGUGUAGCGGUGAAAUGCUUAGAUAUCGUCAAGAACACCGAUAGUGUAGACAGUUCACUAGGCUCAAACUGACGCUGAGGCACGAAAGUGUGGGGAUCAAACAGGAUUAGAUACCCUGGUAGUCCACACUGUAAACGUUGAUUACUCGCUGUUGGCGAUACACAGUCAGCGGCUUAGCGAAAGCGAUAAGUAAUCCACCUGGGGAGUACGCCGGCAACGGUG